UACGAAGGGAGCUAGCGUUGUUCGGAAUCACUGGGCGUAAAGCGCACGUAGGCGGAUGUGUCAGUCAGGGGUGAAAUCCCGGAGCUCAACUCCAGAACUGCCUUUGAUACUGGGAGUCUUGAGUCCGGAAGAGGUAAGUGGAACUGCGAGUGUAGAGGUGAAAUUCGUAGAUAUUCGCAAGAACACCAGUGGCGAAGGCGGCUUACUGGUCCGGUACUGACGCUGAGGUGCGAAAGCGUGGGGAGCAAACAGG
rnacentral:rRNA from 1 species